UCUUGACCUCAGAUCAGGCAAGGCUACCCGCUGUAUUUAA
rnacentral:rRNA from 1 species